AAAUAAUUGGUGCUUAGAAAUGUCUUAUCAUCAACCAUCUUUUAGUUUUGGAAAUGGAGACAUUUUAUGGAUUUUUUUUUUUUUUAAUACGGAGUAUGGCUUAAAAAAAAUAGUAUAGACUGGCCAUGCUUAGAUUCAUGACUUGAGCAACUUUUGUUGAAGUAUAAUGUAGAUUUGGUACAUAAUAUAAACAAUUAGUAGAAAAUGAUUAGUUUUGUUUUGAAACAGAUCUUGUCUUGUGUUAAUUCACUUUUUCCGUAAUCUUGAUGACCUGGAUUUCUGAUCUUUUUCUGAGAUCACUAAGGUUUAUCAGAUUUUAUACUGGCAUUAGAAUAAAUCUCAUCUAGUAAUAAAGUGUACACCAUAUUUUGGUUUAGAUAUGCAGAAAUGUUCUUAAC
rnacentral:lncRNA from 1 species